CGCCGGGCCCCUGACGUCACCCGAUUCGCCAGGAAAUGAACUUUUUAAUAAUCCGAGGAGGGAGGAAAGCCCUCGGUCCCCUCGGCUCGGGGGGCUCCCGGCCAGGCCCAGCUCCGCGGGCGCGCCCCAGUCACCCUCUCCCAGGCCAGCUCUGGGCAGCGCCGGGGGUGCCGGCACGGGCCAGGGGCCUCCUCCUGCCUCUGCGUCCGACUGUCCGUUCGGCUGUCCGUUCAUCUGUCCGAGGCCCUGGCGCAGCUUACGAUUCUUCAUCAACGCGUAAAAUGCGAUCGUCAGAGCCUCGAAAGUGUUUGGCGUCCCUGGAGCCCAGCGAGAGCUUAUCAAAGACACCGCGGCCCCGGGGACAAUCCCCGGUGUCGGGCAAGGCCGCCCCGUCAGCCUGAACCCUGGGACCCAGCGCAGGAGGCAGCCAGCCGCUUGCCGGCCCCGGGGCCUUGAACGCCGGAGCCGAGCGGAAGCUUUCCGUGGGGCUGCGAUCUGCGCCUUGGCUCGCAGGGACGUGGCCGCUCCGGGCCCUCGGGAAAACAGAUUAUCGGAGCCCUUUCAGAGCGCGCACAACAAAUGCGCCCGCCAUCGAAUGCAUCAUUUACCACCGCAGAUCCGCGCGCUGAUGGGCAGGCAGAUAGCCGUCCGCGGGGGGCACGCCGGGCGCCCUGUGCCCGCGCCGCCUGCCUGCCUGCCUGCCUGCCUGCCUGCCUGCCGGGGGCACCCGCCUGUGCGCCCCCGGGUGUGCCCGGCAUGUUUGGAUGGACAUUCGCGUGUGCCAGUGGAUGGGCACUGAACAAGAAAGGGUAUUGGUGUACAUGCGGGUAUGUCAAAGAAGAGUGCUACAAGAAAGUGCAGAUGUGCAAGCCCACACGCACAUGCGUGGUGGGCGUGUGUGCCGUGAGUGCCUGGAGAUGGCCCAGCAGAGGCUGUUUGAGGGUGCACAGAGGAAGGGAUGUUGCACGUGAGUGUGUAGGUAUGCAUGUUACUCAGGAUGGGUAGACACGUGUGUGAAAGGGUGGGUGUGCAAAUCCAUGUGUACAGUGUGGUGAAUGGGUGUAUUGUGAGUGCCUCAAUGUAUCUGCCCUCGACGAGGCUGUUUAAGUGUGCACACAGGAGGUGGUGUCAUCUGCCACUAGGGCGCGUGUGUAUGUGUAUAUUCGGACAUGGGUGUGUUAGUCUCCUGAGUGUUGUGUGCCUGCAGGUGUCCCACCCUCCUCAGUGUUCUGGGUUCAUACAGCCCUGUAAGCAUGUGCAUCCAUGCAUACCUGUGACUGCCAGGAGUGAGUGUGCAAGGUGUCGGUGUUCAGCCCGGUGUGUGCCUUCAGGGUGCACGGAUCUGCGUGAGGGUGGUUGUGUUGUUGUGUAUCUAUCUGCCUGGGAGUGCCCGGGUGUGCUGCGGAGGGUCAAGAGGGAGGGGCAGUUGUUGGGGCCUGUGCCUGCGCCUGCAAGUGCAGGCUCAGGACACAAGAGCUGGGGAGUUGGGACCCCUCUCCAGCUUGGGGAAGAGCCAGCCAGCAGGGAGGGAAAGGUGUGUGCGGGUGUGAUAGACGCCACAGUAGAAGGAAUGGGAUGUGCUAGUGACAGAAAACGGGGUGUGCGUGUGUGUAAGGGAGAGGGGUCUUCCGAGGAGUUUGGGAACACCCAGGGGUCCCAACCCGCCUCAGCAAGCACGCCCCGCCAGGGGCCCCAGAGCCUCCCCGCUCCGGACCUGAGGAAAGAGAGACCCGAGCUCCGCCGCCUGAGGUCCCCGCGCCGUGAGUGACACGCGCCGCCGACAAAGGCUGUAUUUUUCCAGGCUCGAGCCCCGCCCGCGCGCGCCCGCGAUGGUCCCCAUGGCGACGCAGAUAGCGCCGCAGCCAUUUUCCCUAUCUCCCCGGAGUCUAUUAUACCGCGGGAUUAGCUCAUCUCCAGGCAGGUCAAACCCAAAGUCACACAACCUGCGGCGCGGGCCCCGCCCCCCGCCCGGCCGCCCCUCCCCCGCCGGGGGGUCCGGUCCCGGCCCGGCGACCCCCAGAGCAGCGGCCCUUGCGCAGGCGCAGAGCGCCACCUGGCGGCCGCCGGUGUCCCGAGCGGGGUCCCGGGGAGCCGGCGGCUUGAACCCCAGGCACCAGGCAGAAGAGCUGGGGUAGGGGUCCUCUCCUCCCGGAGGUGGACUCUCCAGAAGCAGGGGCUUUGUUUUGUCACUGCUGUGUCUCCAGGGCUGGGCUGACACACAGUAGAUGCUCCAUAAGUGUUUCUUGGAUAGAUGGAUGGCAGGAAAUUAUAGACCUAGCAAACUGUCAAAGGUCACACAGCUUAGUUGGCAACAAGAAAUCAUUUCUUAGAAUGUAUCCACUGAAUUUAGGAUAAAAGCCAAACUCCUCUGGAACCUGUGUAAUAGCCUUUGCUGAUCACUCAGACCUAUUUUCGCCCUUUCUUGAUCCAGUCACAGUGGCCUUCCUUCUGUUCUUUGAACAAGCCAGAACAUUCCUCCCACCCCGGGGCCUUUGUGUCUGCUAUUCCCUCUACGCAGAGUGUAUGCUGCCUCUGUUCAAAUGUCACCCCUCAGAGAGCAAAACUGAGCCUUCAGACUUUUCUUUUAGAGUAAGUACUUUCAACGUGAACUAGUCUCCUCCCUGUUUGUGCAAGUCGCCGGCUUUCUUGCCCCACUGGAAUGCUAGGCUUCCUGGGGAAAGGGAAUCUGUCUUGUUCCCCAGCGAUAGCUUGGAAUCUCCUUUGAUAACUGGUCGGCAUCAGGCACAACUUUGGGAAUGAGUGAAUGGGGACAAGAGGAGGCCAGAGCAAGUGGGUCAGACUGUGCCCUGCUAUCAUGAUCAUUUCUCCUUAUCGUUAGACCAUUCCCCCCUACCCUGCCCCUGUGUUGUGCUCACUUGGCCCCAGGAUGCCUGGCUCCACCAACCUGCCCACGCUGGCAAGUCCAGAGGGACCUGGGACUUAAGGGAAAGAGCACCAUGGAGGCCCCUCUGCAAGGCGUGCCUGCAUUGCUAGUGGGGGUAGAGAACACUUCUCAUCCUGUGUUCUCAGGGAGCCGUGGCCUCUCUGGGAAGGCCUGGGCCGCCAGGUGAGCCUUCACUCAUAAUACAAGAUAAUUAUACCCGAGUUGUCAUGAGGUGGUGAUGAUUAAUUGCUAUGCAUGGGGCAUGCACAGUGAAGUAACUAGAACUAGAGAAGGCCACAGCCUGCCUGGGCUUCCAGGUGGGAGUCCAGCCAGCCCAUCGCCAGGCCAAGCUUUACCCUGCUCAGGUGGGCUUGAGACAAACCCCUUGAGAGGCUUUGCCCAGGGACUCGGAGAAUAAGCUCCCUGUUCCCUCAGAAGUGCCCCAAUUCCCUCCCUGGAGAGGAGCUGUGGGUUAAUGCAGGUUCUUGGGCCAGGACUCCCCCCAACAUAUAUACUUACACCCCUUCUGGCUGGGUGGCCUUAGGCAAGUCACUUUCCUACUCUGAGCCUCAGGUCUGCUUCUGCAAACCUCCCUCCAGGGUUAUGAGAAUUACUCAUAAGCAUGUAUUUAAAAGGAGUUUUGUGAUCCAGGCUUUGAAAAUUGGCAAUCCAAGUCUCAGGGACCCAUGCAGUGACUAAUGUCACCAACAUUUCAAAGUGGGAGAUUUCACAUAAAGAACUUCAUUUGCAGCUUCUCUUGAAAAUUUGGAAGAUUGGCUACCCUGGGCCCACAUUCUUGUAUGGUAAUGUAAUGCUGGAGUUCUGUAUCACCAGCCCCUUGUGCACUGGGGUCUUUGCCCACCCACUUCAGGCCCACGGGUCAGGGAUGUGUCACUCAUAGAAAUAACGUGUGCUGUGGCUAUGUUGGUUUUGGCCUCCCUUCUCUGUAUCCUUUGCUGGAAUUUCCAAUAUCUUUCUCCCUCCAGGUACUGUAAACCACUUAAUAAUAAAUUAAUUAAUAAAUCCAAUCAACACUUUAAAAUAAUGUGUUUGGACAGUACUGAAUAAAACAGCUAUGGUACCUGUCCUCAGGGGACAGUCAGACAUAACCACACAGAUUAAUACAUCAUCACAAAUUGUGACAGGAACUCUGAGGGGCAAAGAACAUAUAUUUACAGAUAUUGAAUCCAAGCGUAUUUUCAGAGACCUACUCUGCGCCAGGUCCUGUGCUGAGAGGUGAGGGCAUGGAAUGAAACCCGAUACGGUCACUGUGGGCAGACAACUCACAGGGUGGUGGAGGUGCAGGCACAUUAAGAGAUUCGGUUAAUUCCAGCCCGUGAGAAUUAGAAGCACAGGGUGCUUGGGGGAGAGUCACUUAUCCUAGUCUGAGAGCAUAAUAUAUAAAGAGUGCCUACAAAUCAAUAAGACAAAAAUAGAAGAGAAAAAAUAGGCAAAGGGUGUGAACAGAAAAUUUACAGAAAAGGAACUAGAAAUGUCUCUUAGAUUGAUGAAAACAUGCUCAGUCUCACCAAGAGAAAUGAAAAUUUAAAACACAUUGAAAGAUUUGGGAAGAGAGAAAUGUUCUAAAAUUAGACUGUGGUGAUGGUUGCAACUCCAUAAAUUUACUAGAAUUUAUGAAAUGUACAUUUAAAAUGAAUAAACUUCAUGGUGUGUGAAUUAUACCACGUAAUGCUGUUUGAAAAUAAAUCCUAAAACAC